AUUGAACGCUGGCGGCAGGCCUAACACAUGCAAGUCGAACGGUAGCACAGAGAGCUUGCUCUCGGGUGACGAGUGGCGGACGGGUGAGUAACGUCUGGGAAACUGCCCGAUGGAGGGGGAUAACUACUGGAAACGGUAGCUAAUACCGCAUAACGUCGCAAGACCAAAGUGGGGGACCUUCGGGCCUCACACCAUCGGAUGUGCCCAGAUGGGAUUAGCUAGUAGGUGGGGUAAUGGCUCACCUAGGCGACGAUCCCUAGCUGGUCUGAGAGGAUGACCAGCCACACUGGACAUGAGACACGGUCCAGACUCCUACGGGAGGCAGCAGUGGGGAAUAUUGCACAAUGGGCGCAAGCCUGAUGCAGCCAUGCCGCGUGUAUGAAGAAGGCCUUCGGGUUGUAAAGUACUUUCAGCGGGGAGGAAGGCGGUGAAGUUAAUAACUUCACCGAUUGACGUUACCCGCAGAAGAAGCACCGGCUAACUCCGUGCCAGCCGCCGCCGUAA
rnacentral:rRNA from 1 species